AUUAGCUGACGAGUCUCAAAUAGGACGAAAUACUCAUCCUGGAG
rnacentral:hammerhead_ribozyme from 1 species